GGAAUCCUACGGGGGGCAGCAGUGGGGAAUAUUGCACAAUGGGGGAAACCCUGAUGCAGCGACGCCGCGUGAAGGAAGAAGUAUUUCGGUAUGUAAACUUCUAUCAGCAGGGAAGAAAAUGACGGUACCUGACUAAGAAGCCUCGGCUAACUACGUGCCAGCAGCCGCGGUAAUACGUAGGGGGCAAGCGUUAUCCGGAUUUACUGGGUGUAAAGGGAGCGGAGGCGGCGAUGCAAGUCAGAAGUGAAAGCCCGGGGCUCAACUCCGGGACUGCUUUUGAAACUGAGUUGCUAGAUUGCAGGAGG
rnacentral:rRNA from 1 species